UGCCCAGCAAUUCCUAUCCCUACCUCCUCGUGGUACUCGCUGGGUAUGAGCAACCUAACGGAAGAUUGGGUAACCAACCCCGGUUGGAACUUUGGUCGUGUGGUGACAGGGAACG
rnacentral:ribozyme from 1 species